rnacentral:rRNA from 1 species
AGUGAACGCUGGCGGUAGGCCUAACACAUGCAAGUCGAACGGCAGCACAGAGGAGCUUGCUCCUUGGGUGGCGAGUGGCGGACGGGUGAGGAAUACAUCGGAAUCUACUCUGUCGUGGGGGAUAACGUAGGGAAACUUACGCUAAUACCGCAUACGACCUACGGGUGAAAGCAGGGGAUCUUCGGACCUUGCGCGAUUGAAUGAGCCGAUGUCGGAUUAGCUAGUUGGCGGGGUAAAGGCCCACCAAGGCGACGAUCCGUAGCUGGUCUGAGAGGAUGAUCGGCCAGACUGGAACUGAGCCACGGUCCAGACUCCUACGGGAGGCAGCAGUGGGGAAUAUUGGACAAUGGGCGCAAGCCUGAUCCAGCCAUACCGCGUGGGUGAAGAAGGCCUUCGGGUUGUAAAGCCCUUUUGUUGGGAAAGAAAUCCAUCUGGUUAAUACCCGGGUGGGAUGACGGUACCCAAAGAAUAAGCACCGGCUAACUUCGUGCCAGCAGCCGCCGCGG